rnacentral:rRNA from 1 species
CCUACGGGAGGCAGCAGUGGGGAAUUUUGGACAAUGGACGCAAGUCUGAUCCAGCCAUGCCGCGUGCGGGAAGAAGGCCUUCGGGUUGUAAACCGCUUUUGUCAGGGAAGAAACGAGUUUCUCUAAUACAGAGACUUAAUGACGGUACCUGAAGAAUAAGCACCGGCUAACUACGUGCCAGCAGCCGCGGUAAUACGUAGGGUGCAAGCGUUAAUCGGAAUUACUGGGCGUAAAGCGUGCGCAGGCGGUUAUGCAAGACAGAUGUGAAAUCCCCGGGCUCAACCUGGGAACUGCAUUUGUGACUGCAUGGCUAGAGUACGGUAGAGGGGGAUGGAAUUCCGCGUGUAGCAGUGAAAUGCGUAGAUAUGCGGAGGAACACCGAUGGCGAAGGCAAUCCCCUGGACCUGUACUGACGCUCAUGCACGAACGACGGUGGGGAGGACGAACGAAGGAGUUAGUAUACCCUACGGUAGUACCGACCGACCCGUAAACCGAACUAGUCAACUAGGUUGGUUUGGGUUAGGGGUUUCGUUUCUUC